rnacentral:rRNA from 1 species
UACGAAGGGUGCAAGCGUUACUCGGAAUUACUGGGCGUAAAGCGUGCGUAGGUGGUUCGUUAAGUCUGAUGUGAAAGCCCUGGGCUCAACCUGGGAAUGGCAUUGGAAACUGGCGACCUAGAGUGCGGUAGAGGGUAGUGGAAUUCCCGGUGUAGCAGUGAAAUGCGUAGAGAUUGGGAGGAACAUCCGUGGCGAAGGCGACUACCUGGACCAGCACUGACACUGAGGCACGAAAGCGUGGGGAGCAAACAGG